rnacentral:rRNA from 1 species
UGGGGAAUAUUGGACAAUGGGCGCAAGCCUGAUCCAGCCAUGCCGCGUGUGUGAAGAAGGCCUUCGGGUUGUAAAGCACUUUUGUCCGGAAAGAAAGCGAAUCGGCGAAUACCCGGUUUGGAUGACGGUACCGGAAGAAUAAGCACCGGCUAACUCCGUGCCAGCAGCCGCGGUAAUACGGAGGGUGCGAGCGUUAUCCGGAUUUACUGGGUUUAAAGGGUGCGUAGGUGGGCUUAUAAGUCAGUGGUGAAAUCUCCGAGCUUAACUUGGAAACUGCCGUUGAUACUAUAGGCCUUGAAUUAUCUGGAGGUAAGCGGAAUAUGUCAUGUAGCGGUGAAAUGCUUAGAUAUGACAUAGAACACCAAUUGCGAAGGCAGCUUACUACAUAUAAAUUGACGCUGAGGCACGAAAGCGUGGGGAUCAAACA